CUAUAGCUUGGGUGAUUCCAAAUCUGAAGUAGUGGAAACUAUUGUUGUAAUUAGCGUGGGAUCAGAAAGGAUCAGAAAGCCUUUAUUUUUUGGCCAGU